rnacentral:ncRNA from 1 species
AGAAGAGAUAAGAAACAAGCGUUGGGCGUCCGACGAGUGGGGUUGGCGGCACGUCUGUUAAAAAAUAACGCAGGCGCCCGAUUUUGAGCUCAAUGAGAACAGAAAUCUCAUGUGGACCGAAAGGGGAAAAGCUCGGUUGAUUUUGAUUUUCAGUACGAAUACAAACCGCGAAAGCGUGGCCUAUCGAUCCUUUAGUCUUUGGGAAUUUCAAGCUAGAGGUGUCAGAAAAGUUACCACAGGGAUAACUGGCUUGUGGCUGCCAAGCGUUCAUAGCGACGUAGCUUUUUGAUCCUUCGAUGUCGGCUCUUCCUAUCACUGCCUCGCAGCGGGGGCCAAAUGCAGGAUUGUUCACCCACCAAUAGGGAACGUGAGCUGGGUUUAGACCGUCGUGAGACAGGUUAGUUUUACCCUACUGCUGCUCGUUUUUCAACGGUAAUUUGGUUCAGUACGAGAGGAACCACCAAUUCGCACCAUCGGUAUAGCCGCCGCUGGAAACGGCGAUGCGGCGAAGCUGCCAUGCGCCGGAUUAUAACUGAACGCCUCUAAGUUAGAAUCCAUGCCGGAAGGAAAGCGGUCUACCGUGCGGGGGCAGCCAUGCGCAAACGUACUGCAUGAGCCGUGAGCGAUCACAAUUUCCUGACCCCGCGCGAUGAAUCACUUGCAGACGACUUGAAUAAGGAACGGGGUAUUGUACGCGGCAGAGUGGCCUUGUUGCCACGAUCCGCUGAGAUUCAGCCUUGGUUCUGACGAUUU